GGAGACUGUGGCUGAGGAGUAUAGCAUCUUCAUGGAUUGCAGAAGGUCCCAGGUUCAAUCCCUGGCAUCUCCA
rnacentral:tRNA from 1 species